CUCUCUCUCUCUCUCACACACACACACACACACACACCUCCUAGGCUCUGGAGCAUUAAUUAGGCAGCCUACGAGUCUGCCACACCAUGGUAUACCUCCAUCGCACACUGGAAAACAGGCGAAGAGGACGAAAAGACACACAUGCUGCAGAAUCCAGAGGAACUGGGAGGUGCAGCCGGACCCAAUAACAUAGACAAGAAGAAAAGAAAAGAUUCCAGUCGCUUUUUGCCUCUGAACAUCAGCUCCUCCUCGCCUUCAAGUGGCUUGGCCACCGCUUUCAUCAGUAAUCCCUUGUCUCCGCUCUCGUCUCCGGGCCCGUUGUUGCUGACACCACACUGGCACCCAGAGGCCGCGAAGCUGCUCCUCUCUGGGAUUGAAGAGGGCUGAAGGUCUCCUUACUUGGGUACAUAACAAUGUCUCCACCUCCUCUGCUGCUCGUGGCCUGCGGCUCCUUCCUACUUCUCCUCCUUCUCCUCUGCAUUCAAUCAAUCGACUGACGCCGCUGACCAGCUCCCACAGCGCGCUGCCGGGGGAGGGAAGUUAUUGGAGUCGUGUGGUUGUGAGCAUCAGAUACCUCCAGUGGGUUAGGCCAUUCCAUAAUGUUUGAAAUAUCUGGAAAUAAUCAACCAAAAUCUAAAAAGUAAAAUAGCUGAUCCACCGGACUCUCCACAGUGGCAUGCUCUGUGUUUAACAUGUGUGUUGUUUCCCAAAUACUGAUUUUUUAAGAUUUAGCUGACAUUCAUUAAACAAAUGUAAACAACCGGCUGGUUAACUAUAUAUUUAUCACUGGUACAUCUCACGAGAUAGGGAUUUUAUAAUCUUAUACGUAUAACCUUGUAUUAAAUUACCUUUGAACUAAUAUCAUUUAAAGAAUUACAUAAUUAAUAAUUCAAAACAUAAUUACAUCGUUUUACAUAAAGGCGAUCUCCACAAUAGUGGAAGCUGCAAGACCAUAAAUUAGGUUGUAAAUCAUUUGCGGUUAAAUGAAUCUGCAGAACACACUUAUGUCCAGGAAUAUGAUUUAAAGUGAAAGCAUCGCAAAUGCUUCCAAAAUAUUUCAGGACAAACACUUGGAGUGAAAAAGAAUAUUUUAAAAAUACAAUUACAUCCUCCCAAACAGACCAUUUAUCCAUCCACAGCAAAUGUACUGAAAUCGAUGGCUCAACUGAUAUAUCAUGAGUAAGCAUUAUCAAUCCAUAAAUACAGCCCGAAAUAACCUCAUAAGUAGUCAACAGCCAUUUACAAUUCACCCUGAAAGGUGAAAAAACAUUAUCUUCAGGAAGUACCAUCCUGGAAUCAAUACUACAAUGUCAGAAUAAAACAUUACAAGAAAAGCCUUGUAUUUCAACUAUAGCAGUAUUACCUGCAGUGGCGGCAGGCCAAUAGAGUGAAAUCGGGAGUCACCCCACCUGGAGCCCAAUCGAAGAAGAAGAAAAAAAAAAGGAUUAAAUCAUAAAACUUGUAACUUGAAAUAUGGAAUGUAACCAGGAAUAUUUGUAAAAUAUACGUCCUUUCUUCAUGCGCAGUUCAAGAUUGCCCUUAGAAGGCGGGUCUAAGAAGCAAUUUAGCCAAUUGCUGGUUAAAUAAAAUGAUGUGUAACAUUACAUUUAGCCACUCAGCGUCCUUAAAUAGUCUCAGCCUGGGGCAACAUUGGCUUUGCCACAAGCGUUCACAUUCUCGUCGAGGCUGGUAUCGACAGGCAGAUGAGAUUCUGGAGGAAUUAAAUAGCACAGAUUUUAUCUUUCAUAUUUACAUUAUACUGAAUUGAAUGUGAGGGUGACAAAAAAAGAUUGUGGAAGUAUUAUUUCCGGCUUGUCUUCAUUUUCGAAUGAAUCUAAAAAAUUGAACCGCAAAGUAAUAAUGUGUUAUUGAUACCUAAAUUGUUUUGCAUUAAAUCCACCUGGGAUGUUUGCUCAAAUUGUUUCGAUUGCCCUACCUACAAUAUUUUCCACUAGCCGCCACUGAUUACCUGAAAAAUAAACUCAUUUUAAGUA